ensembl:lncRNA
UUAAAUUCUGAGGGCGCUCAGUGGGACUGAGCCUUGAGGAAGUGAUAGAAAUGCUUACAAGUAUGUUUUUGUUGUUGUUUUGGUUUGGGUUUUUUGGGCCGUGUUCAGCUUUCACAAAGGAGAGGAUCUCGGGGGCUGAGCUGCUUUUGCAUGAGUUUUUAACCAUUCUCUCAACGUCUGCUUGACUUUUGCAGUGGGAACCCACCAUCUCUGUGGGCUCAGCAUAAAGGCAUGGCCUGGGGCUGUACAGGGCUGUAUGGGCUGGGUCACAGACCUUGUGCUUUGCUUGUACUCAUACACACUGCAUUGUGGCCUUCAACAAGCGUGGGUCAGAGGGCCAUCACCCUGCCCAGGAGGGAGGUGGCUGAAGGCCAUGCACACAGCAGAAGUAAAGCAAGCAGAAGAUCAAGCCCCAGAAAUGGUCAAAUCCACUCCGGGAGAGAAAUCAAAGGAUGCACAGUGCUCUCCCUGCCUGCAGAGACUCCCAGCUCUGUGCUGAUUGCAGGCAUCACCCGAAGCCCUCAUUCAUGCAAACCAUCCAUCAGCUGAUGGGGGGUCUGCACAGAGCUCACCCCCCAGCCCCACACCUCUGGAGCACCACAAAAUCCUUCUUCAUCUACAGCUGAGCAGCGUGGAGGCAGCUGGUGGAAGGAUGCAGCAGAGCUGCCUGCUCAGGAAAGAAGUUUGCAAUCAUCAGCUUGGAUGCAGUGACCGUUACCUUAAUGCUGUGAUUAAAUCCAUGUUUAAG